AUCGGCGACGGACAGCAGCGCAACAACACCACGGCCACCGCAGAACAAACUACCAUUUUCCUUCUAAGUAUUGACACAUAUGGAUUAGCAUGGGUGUUAGGGUUUAGAAUUUCCACUUUCUCUUCCAAUUUCCUCCGGAGAACGAUGACGGUGAAAGCGAUAAAUGAUGACACUAGCAGCAUAACGACAAUUGUAUGAAGAAUUUAAGGUAAUUGUUCAAUAUUAAUUUUUAUGUUGCUCAAGGAUUAAUUUUUUUUUCUCUAAGUAAAAUAUAUUAUUCAAUGUUAUCGCAGGUCCAUAACUGUAUUUUUCCUAUGAGAUACUAAAAAUUGAAUUUGUUGUUUUAUUUCGUUUACAUAGUUCUUCUAUUGGGUUUAGAAUUUUGUAAUUAAUAAACUCAUGUAAAUUUUGUGUAUUGGUGUAAGAAUGCAAUCAAUAGUUUUGUACAUAAGGUAUGAAUAUGUGACUUAGUUUGUUUAAAUUACAUAAUAUAUGGCUGUAAAAAAAAUUUCUUUGCCACUCUUGUAUAUUUAUCAGAAACGACAUCAAAAAGGAUUUGGGAAAAACGGUGGAUCAGAAAAGCAAAUCCAUUAGAUAGAAUAAAUUGAUUGAGAUUUUGUUUCAUGUAAUCAGCUAUAUAUGGUGUUUAAGAAUAAACCUAGCCACAACUAUAUAUGACACAGGUAAUCCUAAUAUUUUAGUCUGCAAUGGCAUUUAUAUUUCAUUAAGUUUGAAAUUUAUGUUUUGUUUAUUUGCAGAAACAAACAUCUUCAAACACAUUAUGACAGGUAAUGCUAUUAACUACAUUAUGAUAUCUUUUUUCUUCUGAAAAAUGAUUUGUUAACCUAGUUAUUUAAAAUGGUUAUACGUGGGUUAUAAGAACAUGGUUUCUAAUAUAUAAUCUGGUUACUUGACUUUAAAAUGGAUAUUUGUUUUGUAUUGGUUUACAUUUGUUUUUUGUCGCAAUGUACUUUGUUUGUUGUUUAGAGCUUAUAGGGAGACAAAUUUCUUCAAUGAAACCGAGAAGGAACUCAGGUAAAUCAAUGUGGCAGUUGGGCUAAGAUGACUUACAUGAACUGCUCUUUAAUUAUCUACUCAUGUAAGAU
rnacentral:lncRNA from 1 species